UCCGGUUUGUCACCGGCAGUCUCCCUAGAGUUCCCGACUUUACGCUGGCAACUAGGGACAAGGGUUGCGCUCGUUACGGGACUUAACCCAACAUCUCACGACACGAGCUGACGACAGCCAUGCAGCACCUGUCUUGCGGUUCCCGAAGGCACCCGUUCAUCUCUGAACAGUUCCGCAGAUGUCAAGGGCAGGUAAGGUUCUUCGCGUUGCAUCGAAUUAAACCACAUGCUCCACCGCUUGUGCGGGCCCCCGUCAAUUCAUUUGAGUUUUAGCCUUGCGGCCGUACUCCCCAGGCGGAGAACUUAGCGCGUUAGCUACGACACUAAGAGGUUAAACCUCCCAACAUCUAGUUCUCAUCGUUUACAGCGUGGACUAC
rnacentral:misc_RNA from 1 species